rfam:Desulfobacterales bacterium S3730MH5 k99_4622802, whole genome shotgun sequence.
UCUGAUAAAGGCAUAUUUGGUGUCCUAAUGGACUUAAUAGGGAAUCCCGUUAAAAUCGGGAGCGGGCCCGCCGCUGUAAUCGGGGACGAAAGCCGCAAAAAGCCACUGGGGACAGUCAUAUACCUCGAAAGGCCACAAAUGACACUUUUUCGCCGGCCAUGAACAUCAAUAGCCGCGUUGCUCAGGCUUGCAAUAGCCAGCUAUUCCGCGCCUU